UAAAAACCCCGACUUCGGAAGGGGUGUAUUUAUUAGAUACAAAACCAAUGCCCUUCGGGGCUCUUUGGUGAUUCAUGAUAACUAUACGAAUCGCACGGCCUUGCGCCGGCGAUGGUUCAUUCAAAUUUCUUCCCUAUCAACUUUCGAUGUUUGGGUAUUGGCCAAACAUGGUUGCAACGGGUAACGGAGGGUUAGGGCUCGACCCCGGAGAAGGAGCCUGAGAAACGGCUACUACAUCCAAGGAAGGCAGCAGGCGCGCAAAUUACCCAAUCCCGACUCGGGGAGGUAGUGACAAUAAAUACUGAUACAGGGCCCUUUCGGGCCUUGUAAUUGGAAUGAGUACAAUUUAAAUCCCUUAACGAGGAACAAUUGGAGGGCAAGUCUGGUGCCAGCAGCCGCGGUAAUUCCAGCUCCAAUAGCGUAUAUUAAAGUUGUUGUGGUUAAAAAGCUCGUAGUUGAACCUUGGGCCUGGCUGGCCGGUCCGCCUCACCGCGUGCACUGGUCCGGCCGGGCCUUUCCCUCUGAGGAACCCCAUCCCCUACAAAGGAGAGUGACGGGAAAAAGAACAUUGACUUU
rnacentral:rRNA from 1 species